rnacentral:tRNA from 1 species
UGCCCCAUGGCUGAGUUGGUUACAGCGUCCGACUGUUACUCUUGACGAUCAAUCGGAAGGUCGUGAGUUCGAGCCUCACUGGGGCAG